UGGGGAAUAUUGGACAAUGGGCGAAAGCCUGAUCCAGCCAUGCCGCGUGUGUGAAGAAGGUCUUCGGAUUGUAAAGCACUUUAAGUUGGGAGGAAGGGCAGUUACCUAAUACGUAUCUGUUUUGACGUUACCGACAGAAUAAGCACUGGCUAACUCUGUGCCAGCAGCCGCGGUAAUACAGAGGGUGCAAGCGUUAAUCGGAAUUACUGGGCGUAAAGCGCGCGUAGGUGGUUUGUUAAGUUGGAUGUGAAAUCCCCGGGCUCAACCUGGGAACUGCAUUCAAAACUGACAAGCUAGAGUAUGGUAGAGGGUGGUGGAAUUUCCUGUGUAGCGGUGAAAUGCGUAGAUAUAGGAAGGAACACCAGUGGCGAAGGCGACCACCUGGACUGAUACUGACACUGAGGUGCGAAAGCGUGGGGAGCAAACAGGAUUAGAUACCCAAGUAGUCCCUGAGCGGGCUGGCAAGGCGCAU
rnacentral:rRNA from 1 species